AUCUGCCAAAUUGAAGACAUUUUGUUUACUGAUUUGGGAAACUUGAAAAAGCAAUUUAGCAUGCAUAAGCUCACUAAUUUUACGAGCUUAACAGAUACUGAAACAUAUAUGUCAAAGAUAACAUAUUAAGGCUUGUGUAUUUGUUGUCACAAAGUGUAGCAAUAUGCAGAAGCUCCAAAAACUGGAAUAAACAAGAUCCAAUGGUAAUGGUUUCCACAUAGGAUUUGUAAAUGUAUGUAAAAGCCAGAAAACAGCACUAUAUUAGGGCAACAUCCAUAGACACCAAGUGGACGUAUCAAACGGUGACACGUGGCGAUGGCGACAGAUCAAAUCCGAGUUCGCGAACGAGGGAUUCCGGGAAAGCAUACGAAGCUCCGGAUAAGUAAUUUGGUAACCCGCUUCCGGAGGCAGAAACUACAAAGGGUCCGUAGGAGCGUGCCAACUCACCAGUCAAACGCCAUUCGGUGCCCAGCCGUUACAUCAAGACCCCCAAUUUCCUGCAGCCUUUAUUAGGCUUUAUCGCCUUUUAUUGCAACAUUAAUAUUGGUAAUUGAGGGGGCACGAUUCAUGAAAUCUAUACCCCAUAGCUCUAGCAUAAAUAGAGGUACUCGUUGUAUUGUAAGACAUCUGAAACAUUAUAUAACAAAACAGAGUAUUCAUAUUA